CCUACUGGAGGCAGCAGUAGGGAAUUUUCGGCAAUGGGGGGAACCCUGACCGAGCAACGCCGCGUGAAGGAAGAAGGAAUUCGUUCUGUAAACUUCUGUUAUAAAGGAAGAAAGACGGAUGGAGGAAAUGACAUCCGAGUGACGGUACUUUAUGAGAAAGCCACGGCUUACUACGUGCCAGCAGCCGCGGUAAUACUUAGGUGGCAAGCUUUAUCCGGAAUUAUUGGGCGUAAAGAGGGAGCAGGAGGCAGCAAAGGUCUGUGGUGAAAGACUGAAACUUAACUUCAGUAAGGCAUAGAAAUAGGGGAGCGAGCGGGGAGGAGAGGAUCGUGGAAUUUCAUGGGGAGGGGUGGAAUUCGUAGAAAAAUGGAGGAACACCAGGGGCGAAGGCGACGAUUUGGCCUGCAACUGAAGCUUAGUCCCGAAAGCGUGGGGAGCAAAUAGGAUUAGAUACCCGAGUAGUC
rnacentral:rRNA from 1 species